AUGUGCAAUUUAAGCCAUUUGAUAGAAACAACAUAAAUGAUAUGAAAUCAAACCAAAUCCUAAUCUGACAUGUUUUGUAGUUCCCGCUGCUGCUCCAUUUUUGCAGCAGCAGUGGGAGUAGUGAAAGUGAAGACCAGGAGACUGCUGGGAAGUUCAGAAGAUAUGGCCAUGGCUGACUUGCUCAAUAUUUCCCAUCCAUCCCUAACAGCCUGAUUCCUUGGAGCUUGUUGUGAUUAAAUUCAGACACAGCUAAUUAACAUCUGGAAACCAAUUCAGAAGGUAAAUGCAAGCUGGGAGCCUGGGCUGUGGACCGCAGCUCUGUCCCCAGACAGUGCUGGAGAAACUCAGCAGGUCAGGCUGCAUCUGUGGAGAGAGAAACAAAGUUAACGGCUCAGCUCCAUCAGCGGCUGGUACUCAGCAUUUAGAAAAUCAGAGGAGAGAUAUCCCAGACCGGGAUAGGGAACUCUGUCAAUGAAUCUGCAUAAUGUUUUCCAAAACAAAACAUCCGAGAGAAAGGGAAGUUACACAGAGAAACCAAGAAAUAAUUAUUUUAUUUGUGGACAUUGUAUAUACACAUCUCAGGUGGUGGAGUUAGAACACUCCUGCAUUAUUCUGAAAUCAGAUCUUUCACUUUAACACCUGGGGUUUUGGCCCAGCUCAGAAUUAAAAGCGCCUAACCUUUCUUGUUCAGGGAAUUGAAUGUUGAUGUGCACUGACAUGCAAAAUUGAAAUAAUAUUCUAUACCCAGCAAACACAGUUAUGCAGAUGUAGCAACAGCACUGAGCCAGAGCUAGUUUGGAAGGUGAGGGCCCGGAGAGGAGAGGAGAGGACAAGGACACUUUCCCAAAGUUUAGGGAGAAUCAGACAGAACUCUCGUUGACAAAAUAACUCUCUACAAUAUCUGACAUUCCCGAUAACAGAGACGUCGAUCUUCGUGUCAUCGCAGGUAGAGAAGAAGACGGAGUUGUAUAAACCCUGACCGAGCGGCUGCUUCUAACCAGGGGCUGGGUGUAAAGCAGGUGAUUGUCCCAUUGGGGAGAUUUGGGAAUGAGUGUGCGGACUGUGUAAGUUACAGUCAACAAUAACUAUCACCAAAUUAGUUAAUGUAAAAAGAAUUGAAUAGUUUGUAAGACUAUUCAUAUCACAAAGCCCCGUGUAUAAUGUACCUUUUACCCCCGCUUACCCCAUGAAGCGGUACUUUACAAAGGCUGGGUUGGGCUUCGUGUUGAAAUGACAAUUUGAUCACUUUGUAGCAGCGGGUAUGGGGAAUAAGGAACAGUGUUCUGUGAGCGAUGCCCCAGGUUGUGUAGUGACAGACUCUCUCCCAGUAACAGUGUCCCAGGGAAUCCUGUCUCUAAUAUUUCCCACCCUCAGUGAAUAUCACUCUCCGGACAAACCCUGAGUUGGGAAGCUAUCGGUUUGAUUAUGUAUUAGAGAGGUGCUGGAAAAGUGGUGCUGGAUUCCUGAACGGCUUUUGCCCGAAACCUCGAUUCUCCUGCUCCUCGG